rnacentral:rRNA from 1 species
UACAGAGGUCCCGAGCGUUGUUCGGAUUCACUGGGCGUAAAGGGUGCGUAGGUGGCCAUGAAAGUUUGAUGUGAAAUCUCCGGGCUUAACCCGGAAAAUGCAUUGAAUACUCUGUGGCUGGAGGUUUGGAGGGGGGACUGGAAUUCUCGGUGUAGCAGUGAAAUGCGUAGAUAUCGAGAGGAACACCAGUGGCGAAGGCGGGUCUCUGGGCCGAUACUGACGCUGAGGAGCGAAAGCGUGGGGAGCGAACAGG